rnacentral:tRNA from 19 species
GGGGAUAUGGCGAAAUCGGUAGACGCUACGGACUUAAAAUCCGUCGACUUAAAAAAUCGUGAGGGUUCAAGUCCC